rfam:Ralstonia eutropha H16 chromosome 1
CGUAAGGGGCGGGCCGCGGCGGGGGAGCCUUCGGGCUCGCCGGUGGUACGUGCCGGUCUGUCAACCCUGCUUCGUGCUCGCCCACCCGA